UCCUGUUCCGCUGCGGGCUCUGGUGCAGGUGCAGUCUCUUUACAUUUAAACGCACCAUGCAAUAAUAGCAUUGCUGGACGCAAUGAAAGUAAUCGUGUUUUUUUUAGCUGCAUGCCUGAUUGAUUUGCAAUUCAGAUUCUUGGAUUUCAGAAGUUGACUCAGGAGGGGAUGUCAAAUCGAAGAGUACUCACCAACUAGCUAUUACAUAUCACUGAUAUUCUAGCGUAUGUUUUAAGAUGGAUGUAAUGAUACUCUUUCUGCAAAUAAUGAUGGCGGCGUUUGCCAGCUGGUUAUAUUUGUGGGUUGCAGCGUCAGGUGUUUUAAUGGAACGAGUUAAUGACUAGAUGCAUAAUUAAUUUUUGAAUAGAUGUGUAUAAUAAACUCUGCUGUUGAGGACACCCUCUCAAUUAUUCGUCACUGCAGUCCAUCAUCACCUGACUCUUUAUUCAUGCCUUCUGACGUCCAGUGCAGCGCGAAAACAGUUAUUGCUCUCACCAUAAUAAUUGAUUCUUCAUUACACGUCUUCAGG
rnacentral:lncRNA from 1 species